CGAACGCUGGCGGCAGGCCUAACACAUGCAAGUCGAGCGCCCCGCAAGGGGAGCGGCGGACGGGUGAGUAACACGUGGGAAUUUUCCUCAAGGUACGGAACAACUCAGGGAAACUUGGGCUAAUACCGUAUGAUGCAGAGAUGCCAAAGAUUUAUCGCCUUGGGAUAAGCCCGCGUCAGAUUAGGUAGUUGGUGGGGUAAAGGCCUACCAAGCCUGUGAUCUGUAGCUGGUCUGAGAGGACGAUCAGCCACAUUGGGACUGAGACACGGCCCAAACUCCUACGGGAGGCAGCAGUGGGGAAUCUUGCGCAAUGGGCGAAAGCCUGACGCAGCCAUGCCGCGUGAAUGAUGAAGGUCUUAGGAUUGUAAAGUUCUUUAGCCUGUGACGAUGAUGACGGUAACAGGAGAAUAAGCCCCGGCUAACUUCGUGCCAGCAG
rnacentral:rRNA from 1 species